rnacentral:rRNA from 1 species
UACAGAGGGUGCGAGCGUUAAUCGGAAUUACUGGGCGUAAAGCGCACGUAGAUGGCUUCGUAAGUCGGAUGUGAAAUCCCCGGGCUCAACCUGGGAACUGCAUUCGAAACUGCGUUGCUGGAAUGUGGAAGAGGGAAGCGGAAUUCCAGGUGUAGCGGUGAAAUGCGUAGAUAUCUGGAGGAACAUCAGUGGCGAAAGCGGCUUCCUGGUCCAACAUUGACAUUCAGGUGCGAAAGCGUGGGGAGCAAACAGGAUUAGAUACCCUGGUAGUCCACGCCAUAAACGAUGCGAACUAGAUGUCGAGAGGGUUAGCCUCCCGGUGUCGCAGCUAACGCGGUAAGUUCGCCGCCUGGGGAGUACGGCCGCAAGGUUGAA